rnacentral:rRNA from 1 species
GGGCGGCAGCUUACACAUGCAGUCGAGCGGAAACGAUGAUAGCUUGCUAUCAGGCGUCGAGCGGCGGACGGGUGAGUAAUGCUUAGGAAUCUGCCCAGUAGUGGGGGACAACAGUCGGAAACGGCUGCUAAUACCGCAUACGCCCUACGGGGGAAAGCAGGGGAUCUUCGGACCUUGCGCUAUUGGAUGAGCCUAAGUCGGAUUAGCUAGUUGGUGAGGUAAAGGCUCACCAAGGCGACGAUCCGUAGCUGGUUUGAGAGGAUGAUCAGCCACAUCGGGACUGAGACACGGCCCGAACUCCUACGGGAGGCAGCAGUGGGGAAUAUUGGACAAUGGGGGCAACCCUGAUCCAGCCAUGCCGCGUGUGUGAAGAAGGCUUUCGGGUUGUAAAGCACUUUCAGCGAGGAGGAAGGCUCUAAAGCUAAUACCUUUAGGGAUUGACGUUACUCGCAGAAGAAGCACCGGCUAACUCCGUGCCAGCAGCCGCGGUAAUACGGAGGGUGCAAGCGUUAAUCGGAAUUACUGGGCGUAAAGCGCGCGUAGGUGGUUGAGUAAGCGAGAUGUGAAAGCCCCGGGCUUAACCUGGGAACGGCAUUUCGAACUGCUCGGCUAGAGUGUGGUAGAGGGUAGUGGAAUUUCCUGUGUAGCGGUGAAAUGCGUAGAUAUAGGAAGGAACACCAGUGGCGAAGGCGGCUACCUGGACCAACACUGACACUGAGGUGCGAAAGCGUGGGGAGCAAACAGGAUUAGAUACCCUGGUAGUCCACGCCGUAAACGAUGUCAACUAGCCGUUGGGGAUCUUGAAUCCUUAGUGGCGCAGCUAACGCACUAAGUUGACCGCCUGGGGAGUACGGCCGCAAGGUUAAAACUCAAAUGAAUUGACGGGGGCCCGCACAAGCGGUGGAGCAUGUGGUUUAAUUCGACGCAACGCGAAGAACCUUACCUGGCCUUGACAUGCAGAGAACUUUCCAGAGAUGGAUUGGUGCCUUCGGGAACUCUGACACAGGUGCUGCAUGGCCGUCGUCAGCUCGUGUCGUGAGAUGUUGGGUUAAAUCCCGUAACCAACGCCACCCCUAUCCUUGGUUGCUAACAGGUAAUGCUGAAAACUCCGGGAAACUGCCGGUGACAACCGGAAGAAGGUGGGAUGACUUCGGUCUUCUUGCCCUUACGGCAGGGCUACCC